GUAGAUUUGUGUUAAUGUCUUUAGGUUUUUUUUGUUUGUUUUAAUGGUAAUUCAUACAACAGAACAUUUGAUGGUGGGAUCUACAAACCUAAAAAUGUAUACACUCAAUAUGAAAUACAUUUAUUUAAAUCAACAUAAAAGAGCAGAAAUGAUUAUGAACAAGGCAAAAAUAAUAAUCUUAAUAAAAUUAAGCAUAUCACCAUGACAAUAUGGAGGAAAUCAUCAGGAAGGAAAGUGUAAAAUCAAACAUAUGUGAAAAAUAUUCUUUCUUUUGUAUGGUUAUUUGGUUCUUGACAAUGCAGAGCUAUUAACAAUUAUUGGUUAUGGAUGGAGAAGUCAACACUGUUAUAGACUGAUUUUCAUUCUUCUCCUAUACAGGCACAAAAGAUCACAGAUCCAAGUAGGGGGGAGGGAGAUUUAACAAAAUACAAAAGACCAAAAACUUAAUGAAAAUGUACUAAAAUUUAAUUGUUCAUAAAAGCUGAAAAAAUUACCACUUUGAGCAUGAUAGGACAACACAAAGUAAUUAGAGUUGGUUUUAGUACAAUAUAUUUUUCAGCAUGAGACAAAGAAACCCAUUUGUUAUUUCUGCCCAUCUCUUAUUAAAAAGAACCAUUUCCCAAAACUUUUCUAUGCAGAAAACAGAAUUUAUCAUAAAUUAUGGGAAAUAUGAAAAAUGAUGACAGUUCAACUACAAAAAAGUAAUUUGGGCAAAAACAUGUUACUUGAUGAGCUGGUCCGGUUGAAUAGGGAGAAGUGUGUAGCGUGUAUAGCCCCAGACUUCUGGAGUGCACAUUAGCAAGGAGGAGGAGGCUUGGUCAUGAAGAUGGGGAUAAAACAACAACAACAAAAAAAAAAGUCUAGUAUACGAUCAUGAUUAAACUUUUGCAAACAUUAAUAUGAUUAUUUUUAAAUGUGGUCGUGUUUCUGAAAUGUAUUAAUGAACAGCAUGUUACCCACUUCCCCCAAAUGAAUCCACAAGAGUCCGGUUCCUAUAGUCCUUCUUUAAAAAUCGCAAUUGCAAAAACUUGUAAAAGCUCAAGAAAGACAAUUCAUUUCUGUUUUAUCAUGUAUCAUAUCUGGGGGUGGGGGGUUUGGGGGAGAGAGGAAAAGUUAAGUUUAUUUGGGAAGAAAAAGCAAAAAUGUUGAACAUGUGAGAAGGUAAACUUCUCUUCACUCCUUUCUGUAAGCUGAGGAGUGAGUCUUAAACAUGUUCUGCCUUUGCCAACGUUGUUUCCAAGAACUACUGAAUGGGGCUGGAAUGCUGGCCAGUAGGGCAACAGGUCUUCAUCUCAGCAUUCUAGGAAACAAACAAAUACAGAAAACAAUUAUGGCUGACAAUUUCCCAUUAUUCAAAAUUAAUCAUAAUUCCAAUUUUCAAAACAUUUCAUUUGAUUUGGUAAUAUGAUCCAAUGGGAUAUUCCUUUUCCAGGUUGUCAGUACCUAAAUAACUUCUUCAAAAUGCAGGACAGAUAAGGUCUUGCACUUGUUACCACCAGCAGGAGGGGAUGUAGCUGUGGAGCUAUGUUCAGAUAACCUCUUUGUAUUAAAUCCUUCUGAAAUGUAUUAAUUUCCCAACAACCCACUGACAAUGCUGGCAAUGCUUGCAAAGCCUGGUGCCUUCUUUAAAACACACAAAAUUUAAACAUUUUACUGCAUCAACUCUGCUCAAACCAAAGCAUCCUGGUAAAAAGUUUACAUCUAUAUAAUCCGUCCCAUAAAUUAUCCAAC
ensembl:lncRNA